AAGUGGUGAUCUUCACCGGAGUAUCAUCGGAAAUCAGCGCCGAAUUCUUCCUCGAUUAAUCUAAAGUUGGUUUUAGAAUUAUUUCGCCAUAUUGAUCAAUUGAUAUCUCUCAGCGAUGAGAUCGGCACAGUCAACUUAAACUCGAAUGAGGCAAGUACCAAUUAGGAACAACGAUUCGUAGCUAUGAGCUUGGCACUAGUGCCAAUGGUUCUGAUACUAAAAUCGCCGUACAGAAAGAAUGGGACGCCUUUGGACGGAUUGCUGCUUUGAUAAAUAAUGUCGGCGUUAGAGGUUGCGAUGGUUUGGG
rnacentral:lncRNA from 1 species